CUCUCUCUAAGCUAUGUGCAUGCCACCUGUCUCAUAAAUAAACGGACUUCGAUAACCACACGACUCGGAUCAUUUUACAUGGUGUCAGAAGUGGGAUUAAACAAUUCGGUAUGGCAAAAUUAAAUCCUCCAUCGGGUUUUUUGUUUUGAAAAGCCACUUGAAUCGCUGGACUGUAGGCAACGUUUUGAGCGUUUUCGGCUCGCGACAAAGCUGGACAAGGAUGACGGGAGAGUUCAGGAAUAUCAUCCAUGAGAGAGCGUGUUUCUACCAGCGCGUGCAGCGGCCAGGCGAAAGUGCGGAGUGUUUUAUCCGAGCUCUUUACGACCUAUCAGAACACUGUGACUUUGGAGUGAUGCAUCAGGUAUCUGUGCCCUCGUGUCUUUGAUAAUGCCUAUGGUGGUUGUCCCCAUUGAAAUACAGAAUCUCAAUUGGAACAUGGAGUCCCCACUGGCGGGGCUCCUGAAGCGAGCCAAAAGAGACGUUUUGCCCACAUGGUUAAGCGACAACGAUCCAACAUAUAUUGACGCCAUUGGAGUGCCCCGGGGUGUGCCAGAUAAGUAUGAACUCGUUAAUCAAGUGUCCUCGGGAUUCGAAAGCAUUUUCCUAUGGAUCACCCCCAAUAAAAAUGUAUCAUUUAAAGCGGUCCAUGAACAAUUGGCAUUGAUGUCGUUCCAAAAUAGAAUUGCGUUGGACAUGCUAUUGGCUAAGGAACAUGGUGUGUGCGGAAUGUUUGGUGAUGCAUGUUGUACUUUCAUCCCCAACAACACGGCGCCAGGGGGCCGACUGACCCAGGCGUUGGAAGGACUAAGGACACUGAAUAAAAAGAUGGAAGAUCAUUCAGGUGUACGCACCGAUAUUUGGUCUGAUUGGAUGAAAACGUUCGGAAGCUGGAAAGGCCUCAUCAUGUCUGUGCUCGUUGCUGUGGCUUUACUGCAGUGAUGAUUUUGUUGUUGUAUUUCAUGUAUUAGGUCACUCACUGUCCGGUUGAUCGAGAAAACCGUUGGCCCGUUGUCACCGAACGGCCAAUAUACCCUGGUGACUCAACAUGAGCCACGGGGGGAAGAAAGGACCGACAGCAUGCUGGUCGCUGCUUGCUAGAGUAACGGGUGAUGACCUCAUAAAUGAGGUCAUGAGAGGGAAUAAAGGGAAAUGUACUUUUGGCAGUUUGCAAACACAUUUGAUUAAGGCUCCGUUAGACAUAUAAUCAUAUCAAUAUAAUUUCUAGUAGUAGUGUUGUCGCUUAAUAAGUGGAAAGGAAUGUGCAGGCUACAUGAAUUUGUUUUCUUCAAAGUAUUGUGGAACAGGAGGUCCAGAGAGGGAGGAUAUCUCAAGGCCGAUGGGAACGCGAAAAACAACUCGUCUUUGUGGUCCAGACACCUGUGCUGGGCAGGGGAAAACCCAAACGAGGAGGAGAUGACCAUCGACCAUCGACCAAUCACCACACAAUCUUUUGCAUGUUUGAAUAUUCAUAUUGUGUUUCUUUAAAACUGGGCAACCCGGAAGAAUGUGUCGUCUUUUCUGGUCACGAAGGCACACGAGUUUUUGUGUUAAGGACCCAAGACCCAGGCGCCUGUAUUAGCUUGCUUUGUCAAGAUUAAACAAUUGGUAAAUUCGG